rnacentral:rRNA from 1 species
CGAUGGAGGGGGAUAACUACUGGAAACGGUAGCCAAUACCGCAUAACGUCGCAAGACCAAAGAGGGGACCUUCGGGCCUCUUGCCAUCGGAUGUGCCCAGAUGGGAUUAGCUAGUAGGUGGGGUAACGGCUCACCUAGGCGACGAUCCCUAGCUGGUCUGAGAGGAUGACCAGCCACACUGGAACUGAGACACGGUCCAG